UCCAUUCGGAGUAUCGGAGCACUUAUCGCUGGCAUGAGUUCACUGGCAAUUCGCGGCCUGAAGUGGUGCGUCGUGCACCAGCGCCCAAUCCCAGUCAAUUUAUCGGUCCAACGAAUGAGCCACCGUUACCCAGGCGAAAAAAAUGUCCCGAAUUGGCAUACAAGUCGCACGAGUUCAUUAUUGGUUCGGAGUAUACAGAUGCGAGAGGUGGACAUGCCAAUCGGUUAGCAAGGUCUGAAGAACGUGGUGGUACACCAUCACGCCGGAGCAAAUCUGAGGGACCGCCAGUUGUGCCCAAUGGACGUGCAUAUGCCAUACCGGAGGAAGUUGAUGGAACGGCUAAAA
rnacentral:lncRNA from 1 species